AAAGAUAAUUGAUUCAUAACACUCUCCCACAGCUCUGAGGUUGAAAAGUUGUCACAUCCCAUAAUUUCCGUUAUCUCCUUGUUUCUUCCUUUCUGUUAACAAUAGACUGUAUAUUUCACAAUAAGAAUGAACUCGCCUGAUGUGAAAACGGGUGCGUCACGUGCUGUUUGCUUACAAGUUCUUUCGUGUCUGCUCGAUGACAGCCCUGAAGACAUCUAAUCUUUCUGAAGCUAUUUUCUUCUUACAGACAAUUAUAUAAACCGACAGACUCAUUACUCUAAGAAGCUGGGUUUCCUUUG